rnacentral:misc_RNA from 1 species
CGUAGAUCCGAGGAGUUUUUGUAAAACUGCAGUCUUUGAAAACCCUAAUUCUCAAAUCUUUCAGAUCUUUCUUUGACAAACUUCAAAUCACCAUCAAUCAUGGCAGCAGAAGGUUCUCAGUUUGAUGCUCGUCAAUUCGAUGCAAAAAUGACAGAACUGCUUGGUACUGAACAACAGGAAUUCUUCACAUCAUAUGAUGAGGUUCACGACAGUUUUGAUGCCAUGGGUUUGCAAGAAAACCUUCUGAGAGGCAUCUAUGCCUAUGGUUUUGAGAAGCCAUCAGCUAUUCAGCAAAGGGGCAUCGUUCCCUUUUGCAAGGGCCUUGAUGUUAUCCAGCAGGCACAAUCGGGA